CAAAACUUCUACUACAGAGACGAUGGACUCAGACUUUGGGAAAUCAUCCACAGGUUUGUUCAGGGAAUUCUUGAACACUAUUACAAGGAUGAGACUGAGGUCCAAAAAGACUCUGAGCUGCAGAAGUGGAUUGGGGACAUUUUUGAACACGGCUUCCUUUCUCAACCAGGCACAGGAAUUCCACAGAGAUUUACCACCGUGUCUGAGUUGGUCAAGUUUGUCACCAUGGUGA
rnacentral:lncRNA from 1 species